CUGAUUUAUAAUAAGUUACAUAGUUUCAUGAAUAUAUAUAUAUAGUUUGUGUUAAAAUGUCUUUAUUUGAAAUGUACAUGUGUAAGGUGUAAAAGCUAGUGUCUCGUGAGACUACCCCUUAACGAGAGUGCACGAGACUUUUCAUGGACUGCGAGGGAGCAGAUGUCUCUCAUGAAGCGAUUUUAAGCUAAAGGUUUACUAAAAGGAAAGGUAACACAAAGACUUAAGGACCUCUUUUCAGGACAAGCAGCCAACGAGGUAUUUGUCAUUUGAGAAAUGUUUUAUUUGUGUUUUGACUUAAUAUGUGUACUGUUGUAAAGUUGCUAAUUGGUUUGUACUGUUUACUCGUGACCAGUUCUCACGGCGUAAAGGCGUAAUGGCGUAUCGGCGUACUGGUGAUGGUGAAGCUGAGGAGAGAAAGCUCAAGUAAUAAACGCCCGUUUCAAAGAACCGACCUGUGUCUGUGUUGUCGUGAAGAGAGCUACAGUGAGAACUCGCCUGCUCAACACGGGUAGGAGAGGACAGGAUCGCCGCGGAUGACGAAACGACGCGGAUCCGGUGCAUCACGUCAGAUAAGCAGAGUGCAUAACGCAUAUCGGCACAGCGUUAACAAGCAACGGUGGUUAGACUGAGUUAAAGCGCUAAUUUUCACGUCUAAAAUCAGGAGAAGCUCUACCACAAAAGUGAAGUUAAGGUGGUGUGAGAAGUGGUUAAAUGUGGAAAUUGCAACUAAGGGACUCAUCUGUUAUUCUUGCUUGCUUAAUGUAGAGAUUAAUCCAAUGUGUUUGCAUUUAUAGUUGUUGUACAUCACAAGGUUUAAAGAACAAACAAGUAAAUAUUUAACAAGCUCACAGGUUAUGAGUAAUUUUGAGUUUUACAAAAUUUGCUGAGUUUUAAAGGGCACCUUCUGUGAAUUUUAAAGGGGUACUAUACUAAUGUGAAAAAUUGAAAACCUUUAGUAAUGUAAAUAAGGAUUUAAGGUAUUUCUAAGUAUAUUUACACUGUUACUGAGGGUUUACUCAUAUAUUUGUGAUAAGGUAAUUUUGUUCUUGUCUGUUUGAAACUUAAGUUCAGUAUUGAAGUCAACAGCGUGUUGGAAGACUCAUACAUACAUUUAUGAACCUUACUGGCUAUUCAAAUUAAGUCUAUUGUAACUUUCACUUACACAUAGUCCAGAAGAAAUCUAGUUGAAGUUUAAUAGCUGCACAAUCACACUGCUAUAAUCUCAACAUGUCUGACAUAAGCAGAGAGACCUGCCAUAAGGAUGCCGAGCAAUCCGCUCAAGCUGAAGCUACUGGCACUGAAUCUGCAGCAGAACUAGAGGGGCUUCGAAGAAGUGAGAGGGCGCGUACCCUAACAGAAAGGGGGAGAGCAUACCAAGAUGAGAGACUGAAGCAAAUUCAACGCAAAUACAAAAUCAUCUAUGAGAAGUGGAGGUGUCAUGCACGAAUAGGCAAAGAGUUAUUAAGUGGUGAUUCUUCUAAGGAUGAGUUAACUGAUCUUAUUGAGAACAUCAAAAGCACCUGUUCUGAUGUAAAGGUAGUUUAUGAGGAGCUGCGUCAAGUGCAAACCCCUGAACCAGACCUGCGGCGCAGGGUUGAUACAUGCAUGUCAUUCUCAGAAUUUAUUAUUCAAAGAGCACAGAGACAGCUUAAAGGCCAUGAAGCAGAUAAAGAUGAAGAGUCUUGGCCUGAUGUUGGAUCUGUUCUAGGCUCAACAGGUUCUGUUUCUAGACCACUGUCUCGUCAAUCAGGAUGUAGUUCUACCCACUCUAGCAGCCACUCUGUCAAAAGAAUAGAGGCUGUAGCUGAAGCUGCUGCAACUCAGGAAGUCUUGGCAGUGUUGGAGGAGCAAGAAAGGGAAGAAACAGAACUUCAAAUGUUAGAGGCUGAGAACUUAGCCAGACAGCAAGCAAUCCAAGAUAAACGUAGAAAACUUGCACGCCUAGAAGAAGUAAAGAAGCUGAAUGCUGCUAGAGCUCGAGUGAGGGUCUAUGAUGAAGCUGAAGAAAACAUAGAAGCAACUGAUUUGUUGUAUGGUAGUGAAGUACUGCCAGAGCUUAGAGUCACUGACUCCACAGCACUUCCAGUCACAACCCAUUCUCUCAAUGCAUCAAGCCCCCCAUUCAUUCCUCAAUCCCUAGCAGUCACAAGUCAAGCUCCUUGUCCACAACAGCUACCUCAGUCUCCUCCAGCCUCAGUGUUGAGGCCUCAAGAACAGAAUAGCUUAGAUCUGGUCAAUGUGCUAGUAGAAGCUAUGAGUGCAAAUCGGCUCCCAACACCAGAGCCUGCGGUGUUUACAGGAGAUCCCUUGAAGUUCAAAGACUGGCAAUUGUCCUUUGAAACAUUAAUAGAAAGGAAGAACAUCCCAAAGAAUGAAAAACUGUAUUACCUAAGAAAGUACUUAGGUGGCACAGCAAAGAAGGCCGUGGAAGGAUUUCUUCUACUGGGCACAGAAGCAGCAUAUGAGUCAGCCUGGAAGCUUUUAGAGAAACGUUUUGGAGACCCAUUCCUAAUUGGGAAGUCACUCAGAGACAAGCUGCAUGCAUGGCCAAAGAUAGGUUCUAAGGAUGCUUGCGAGCUAAGAGAAUUUGCAGACUUUCUCAAGAGCUGCGAGGCUGCCAUGUCUCAUGUCAAGAUGCUGGAGGUCUUGAAUGACUGCGUUGAGAGUCAGAGGAUUCUGCUGAAAUUGCCAGAUUGGUUGGUUUCCAGCUGGAAUCGCAAAGUGAUGGAAGUCAGACAAGUGAAAGCUGAGUACCCACCAUUCAAGGUGUUUGUUGACUUCCUAUCAAAGGAAGCAGAUCUUGCUUGCGAUCCAAUUUCUUCAAUACAAGCACUUAAGAGUGUUGAAAGUGAGAAACCAAGGCAUCCACGAAGCCAAAUACUUCAAGCAAAGACUCUGACCACAAGUACAACACAGAGCAGUAUUACAUCAUGUGUUUUCUGCAAAAGGACAGGACACAUCCUAGACAAAUGCCGAAGUUUCACAGAAAAGACAGUUCAGGAUCGUGUUAAGUUUGUACACACAGAGAAGCUUUGCUUUGGAUGUUUGAAGACCGGUCAUCACUCAAGAAAAUGUGAUAACAAAAGCACGUGUGAGAAAUGCCAAAAGAGACACCCGACAUGUUUGCAUGACGAUAAGUUCAAGGAACGUCAAAGGCCAGUCCACCUAAAUGGAGGUGAAAUUUCAAAGGACAAGGCAGACACCACAGAAAGGACUGCAACAGCCACUUCCAACAGAGUUAUCCAAGAGGGUCUAAGCACACAAACAUCUUCUAUCUUGCCAGUCUGGGUGUCAUCUAUUAAGCAGCCAGAUCAAGAACUGCUAGUUUAUGCACUCUUAGACACACAGAGCGAUACCACCUUCAUACUAGAUGAAGUAGCUCAAGGCCUGAACACAAACAAAGAGAAUGUCAGUCUGCGACUGUCCACAAUGUCUGCCAAGUCGACAGUUAUUCCAUGUCAGAAACUGACAGGUCUACAAGUGAGAGGAUACAACUCAGAGAAAAGGAUCCCACUACCACCUGUUUUCACAAGAGAGUUUAUCCCAGUAAACAGGCUGCACAUUCCAACCUCUGAAACAGCUCUAAAAUGGCCACAUCUAGAGCAACUGUCAGAAACGAUUCCACCACAGUUGGAUUGCGAAGUAGGCCUUCUUAUAGGCUACAACUGUCAACGGGCCCUCCUCCCAAGAGAGAUCCUGUCUGGUGACGAAAAUCAUCCAUAUGCACAGCGGACUGAUCUGGGCUGGAGCAUUGUUGGUUGCUCACAUUCAACAAGCGAUGACAGCGAUCCAAUAGGAUUCAGUCAUAGAAUCAUAGUACGACAAGUGACACCGACUGUGCAUCCAUCAGUUCAGCUAAAGAAGGAAGUGCACUUUGCGUGCAGGACUCAAGUCAAAGAGAUCAACCCACUUGACAUAAUUAAGACUCUUGAAUCAGAUUUCACAGAUCACUCAGCAGAUGAUAAUCCAGUUUCUCAGGAGGACCUCCUCUUUCUGUCUAAAGUAAAAGCUGGAAUAAGACAGAAGGAAGAUGGCCACUAUGAACUUCCGCUUCCUUUCAAGACAGACAAACCUAAUCUUCCAGACAAUAAACAGUGUGCAGUUCACAGGCUCAGCUCAUUAGAGCGUCGACUGAGGAGAAAUGAACAAUAUUACAUGGACUAUGUCAACUUCAUGAAUGAAAUCAUAAGUAGAAGAGAUGCUGAGAAGGUGCCACAGUCUGAAUUAGACAACCAGCCAGCAUGGUACAUACCACACCACGGUGUCUACCAUCCCCACAAGCCCGGGAAGAUCCGUGUGGUUUUCGAUUGUUCGGCACGCUACCAAGAAACCUCUCUAAAUGACCAUCUCUUGACAGGUCCAGACCUGACUAACACAUUAGUUGGUGUGUUGUGUCAAUUUAGAAAGGGUCCGAUAGCCAUAAUGUGUGACAUCGAAAAAAUGUUUCACCAGUUCCACGUUGCAAGGGAACAUCAAGAUUAUCUCAGGUUCCUCUGGUGGGAUGGAGGUGAUUUGGAUUCUGAACCCUCGGUGUACAGGAUGAAGGUACACCUCUUUGGGGCAGCUUCAUCCCCCGGUUGCUCCAACUUUGGACUGAAAUACCUAGCUUCACAAGGCCAAGGCAAGUUCAGCAAAGAAGCCAUCAAGUUCAUCCAAAGAAGCUUCUAUGUGGAUGAUGGCCUGACAAGUGUAAGGUCGACUGCUGAAGCCAUACGCCUGGUAAAGGAAUCAAGAGCUCUGUGCAAAACAGGAAAUCUACGGCUACAUAAGUUUGUAUCCAACGAUGAGGGUGUGAUUGCAACAAUUCCACCACAAGAAUGUGCUCAGACCAAAGAUCUAAACAUGGCUCUAGGAGAACUUCAUAUCGAGCGAGCACUUGGAGUUCAGUGGUGUGUUGAGGCGGAUGAAUUUCAGUUCAGGGUGGUGGUAAAAGAAAACCCACUGACAAGGAGAGGGGUUCUCUCAACUGUUGCCUCAGUCUAUGAUCCACUAGGUUUCGUGGCUCCAUUCCUACUUGUCGGCAAACAGAUUCUUCAAACGCUGUGUAGAGACAAGGUAAGCUGGGACGAACCUCUCCCCGAGCACAUCCAGCCACAAUGGGAGUCAUGGCUCAAAGAUCUGCCUCAUUUGGCAGCUCUAAGGAUUCCAAGAAGCUACCUUCCAUCAAACUUUGGUGAAGUCUCACUAUAUGAGCUUCACAACUUUUCUGAUGCAAGCUUCAAAGGGUAUGGUGCAUGCUCAUACCUUAGAGCGGUGAGUGAAACAGGACAAAUAAGUUGUUCACUUGUCUUGGGGAAAGCAAGAGUAGCCCCUACCAAACUAACAACCAUCCCAAGGCUUGAGUUAUCAUCAGCUGUGACCUCAGUCCGCAUUGGUGAUAUCAUCAGAGGCGAGCUGGAGAUUGAAAAUGUGCAAGAGUAUUACUGGACUGACUCAAAGGUGGUCCUUGGCUAUGUGAACAAUGAUGCUAAAAGGUUCCAAACAUUCGUGGCCAACCGCAUCCAGCGAAUAAGAUCUAGCACAAAACCUGAACAAUGGCGAUAUGUCAACUCUGAAGACAACCCAGCUGAUGGAGCCUCAAGAGGAUUGACUGCAGUUCAAAUUAAAGAAUCUAACUGGCUGAAAGGACCCAACUUCCUUUGGCAGCAAAAUCUCCCACAUGAAGUGGGAAUGGUGGGAGAAGUUGAGGCUACUGAUCCUGAACUUCGGAGAGUACAUGUUCAUGCAGUUAAAGCAAGAGAACAGAAUCCAAUGGUAAACCGUUUAACUAAAUUUUCUGACUGGUCCAGAGUGGUGAGAGCAAUUGCCAGGCUCAAGAGAUUUGUCAGAGAGUUUAAGGGAUUUCAGUCGAGAACUAAUGAGUCGACUAAUCUUGAAGAACGAAGAGAAGCAGAGAUCUUCAUCAUCAAACUCGUACAAGAAGACGCGUUUGCUGAAGACAUAAAGAAAAUAAGAGGCAAGAAGGAACACACUUUGAGCAGGCACAACAGGCUACGCCAGCUGAAUGCUUUCCUGGACGAAACCAAUGUUCUCAGGGUGGGAGGACGGCUGUCUCAGUCAGCCUUACACCAUGAUGUAAAGCAUCCUGCGAUACUUCCAAAAAAAUCUCACGCGUCAGCUCUGCUGGUCAAACAUCAUCAUGAGCGCAUACACCAUCAAGGAAGGGGCAUGACCAUGAAUGAGUUGCGCGCAAACGGAAUAUGGGUCCUAGGAUGUGGAAGUGUGGUCUCCUCACACAUUUACAAGUGUGUAAAAUGUAGACGAUACAGAAGAACAACUGAGGUUCAACAAAUGGCAAAUCUACCAGAAGAGAGAAUUGAGACAUCUCCCCCCUUUACUUAUUGUGGGCUUGAUUGUUUUGGCCCCUUUAUUGUGAAGGAAGGAAGGAGAGAGUUGAAACGAUACGGAUUGUUAUUCACCUGCCUAUGUUCUAGAGCAGUUCACAUAGAAACCCUUGACGAUUUGACAACAGACGCAUUCAUAAAUGCACUUCGAUCAUUCAUAGCUAUUCGAGGACCCGUGCGCCAGCUAAGAUGUGAUAGAGGGACAAACUUUGUUGGUGCUAGAAAGGAGCUUUCUGAGUUGCUUGAAGGAAUGGAUCAAGACCGUACAAGGGCGCUUGGUUGUGAAUUUGUGCUGAAUGUCCCGUCAGCUAGUCAUAUGGGAGGAGUUUGGGAGCGCCAGAUUCGAACAAUCCGAAGCAUCCUGAUAACUAUGCUUGACAAGUCUGCCAGCAGACUUGACACCACAACUCUAAGAACGUUUCUGUAUGAAACAAUGGCCAUAAUCAACAGCAGGCCACUAAGUGUCGAGCAUCUUCACGAUCCUACUGGUCCUGAACCCCUCACUCCUAACCACAUUCUAACCAUGAAGUCAUCUGUAAUUCUGCCACCUCCUGGACAAUUCUGCAAAGAAGACCUCUAUCUGCACAAAAGGUGGAGAAGAGUGCAGUUUUUGGCCAAUGAAUUUUGGCAACGAUGGAAACGAGAAUACCUGCUAAACCUCCAACAACGGCAGAAAUGGCAGAAGACGUCACGAAACUUGCAAGCAGAUGACAUUGUAAUAUUAAAGGAUGACAGUGCACCAAGAAACCGGUGGAAGCUUGCAAGGGUUGUGGAAGCCCUGCCCAGCACAGAUGGCAAGGUGCGAAAGCUAAAGCUUCUGCUCAGUGACACUACCUUUGAUAAGGGAAAACCAAUCACUAAAUCAGUUUACCUUGAGAGGCCUGUUCACAAAGUAGUUACAUUACUUGAGGCCACCUAAAACACACGUAAAGCUAAAUGACCUACACUUAAAUGUUCACUCACACAUCACUUCCUUAUAAUUUUCAUUGAGGAAAAUCUCUCCUUUUAAGUCAAUGAGUGAUUUUGGUGGGAGUGUAAAUGCUGUUAAAACGCUCUGUGUAGAUUUCAUGAUGUAGAUGACUGAUUUAUAAUAAGUUACAUAGUUUCAUGAAUAUAUAUAUAUAGUUUGUGUUAAAAUGUCUUUAUUUGAAAUGUACAUGUGUAAGGUGUAAAAGCUAGUGUCUCGUGAGACUACCCCUUAACGAGAGUGCACGAGACUUUUCAUGGACUGCGAGGGAGCAGAUGUCUCUCAUGAAGCGAUUUUAAGCUAAAGGUUUACUAAAAGGAAAGGUAACACAAAGACUUAAGGACCUCUUUUCAGGACAAGCAGCCAACGAGUUCUCACGGCGUGAAGGCGUAAAGGCGUAAUGGCGUAUCGGCGUACUGGUGAUGGUGAAGCUGAGGAGAGAAAGCUCAAGUAAUAAACGCCCGUUUCAAA